CUGAACCAGCCAAGUAGCGUGAAGGAUGAAGGCUCUAUGGGUCGUAAACUUCUUUUAUAUAAGAAUAAAGUGCAGUAUGUAUACUGUUUUGUAUGUAUUAUAUGAAUAAGGAUCGGCUAACUCCGUGCCAGCAGCCGCGGUAAUACGGAGGAUCCGAGCGUUAUCCGGAUUUACUGGGUUUAAAGGGAGCGUAGGCGGACGCUUAAGUCAGUUGUGAAAGUUUGCGG
rnacentral:rRNA from 1 species